GGUAGUCCUAGCCGUAAACGUUGGGUGCUAGGUGUGGGCGGACAUCGACCCCGUCCGUGCCGAAGCUAACGCAUUAAGCACCCCGCCUGGGGAGUACGGCCGCAAGGCUAAAACUCAAAGGAAUUGACGGGGCCCGCACAAGCGGCGGAGCAUGCGGCUUAAUUCGAUGCGACGCGAAGAACCUUACCUGGGCUUGACAUGCAGGGCAAAGCCGGUGAAAGCCGGCGCUCUACGGAGCCUGCACAGGUGGUGCAUGGCUGUCGUCAGCUCGUGCCGUGAGGUGUUGCCUUAAG
rnacentral:rRNA from 1 species